AGACUGGGGUUAAAUACCCGGGGGAGGCGCCGCUCCUCCACCCGCGCCCCGCGUCGGGCACCCGCAGCCCUGGACUUGCGGAGCCCGGCUAGGUCGUGCGAGUUGGCGAGGCCGAGCCCCUUGCCUUGGGGGUGGCCAAGUUUGGAGAAUUCUUAGAUGAAAAAGCGCCUCUACCCAAGUUGGAAAAGGAGAGGUUCCGAGUGGGAAUGCUGGGGCUGCCCAGGUGAUCUGGGUUGAAGACAGAAAUAUCACUGAGACAUCUACACAUCUUAGCGCGAACAGGGAAACUGACUAUUGGAACUUGAUCAACAGUAAACAAAGUACUGGGAGUGCAAUUAACAACAGAGAUAUGUCCGUCAGUCAUCAGCUCUUUACUGAGAGGAUUCUUUACCAGCUGAGCUACCAGGGAAGUGAGAAGGUGGGUAAUUCUUCUGGCUAGGUGCAAUCCAAGAGAAAACCUCUCGUCAGAACCUGACUAUGCUGGGACUUUGAUCUCAGAUGUCUAGCCUCCAGACUAUGAGAAAAUGGAGACUCAGAAAGGCUAAAGCAUUUGCUAAAGAUCAUACACAGCUGCAGGAAUGAAGAUCCUGAAAACUGUUCUGCCAUUCUUCACCAGUGAUGACUCGGCUACGCCAGCGUCCCAAAGCAUGCUGCUCCUCUGGCCCAGAGCUCCCUGAUUGCAAGUGAAAAAUGCCUGCGUCUAUAGAACUUCCCCUGAUGCAUAAAUGUUCUUUUUUCUGGCCUGCA